UCURAACGACUCUCGGCAACGGAUAUCUCGGCUCUCGCAUCGAUGAAGAACGUAGCGAAAUGCGAUACUUGGUGUGAAUUGCAGAAUCCCGUGAACCAUCGAGUCUUUGAACGCAAGUUGCGCCCGAAGCCUUCUGGCCGAGGGCACGCCUGCCUGGGCRUCAC
rnacentral:rRNA from 1 species